AGACACAUGUCAGAUAUAGCUAGUUGGUGGGGUAAUGGCCCACCAAGGCUGUGAUCUGUAGCUGGUCUGAGAGGAUGAUCAGCCACACUGGAACUGAGACACGGUCCAGACUCCUACGGGAGGCAGCAGUGGGGAAUAUUGGACAAUGGGCGCAAGCCUGAUCCAGCUAUGCCGCGUGAGUGAGGAAGGCCUUAGGGUUGUAAAACUCUUUCAGUAGGGAAGAUAAUGACGGUAC
rnacentral:rRNA from 1 species